GAUUAAGUUAUUAAGGGCGCACGGUGGAUGCCUUGGCACUAGAAGCCGAUGAAGGACGUUACUAACGACGAUAUGCUUUGGGGAGCUGUAAGUAAGCUUUGAUCCAG
rnacentral:rRNA from 1 species